AUUUGUGUGAAUGUGUUCUGCUAAAAGUCUUUCCAAAGGGGAUCAAACAUAAAUGCACAUUUUAAAACCUAGAACCAAGUUUAGUUACUUAAAAACUGGGUAUUAUAUCAUGUAGGUUAACCUGUAUGAAUUCUGAAUUCAUUUUUGUUUCAUGUUUAUAACUAAGUUUGAUAUUUUCAGUCAAGUACGUUUUGCGAAAUAUAGGUUCUUCUGAAAAAUCUCCUGGUAUAAAUUUUAAAGCUAACAGUCUUUCUUGUACUGGUAUGUACUCAAGAGCCAUCUAGUGAUCCAUGUUAGAUCUGCAUGCAAGAAGAUCUGAUGCUGUGAUCUGGUGAAAACAUUCCAUGAUCCAGCCACUCUGUAACUCUGAAUGUACGGCUUCAAAUAACUAUCCAUUUAAAUCUCAGGUAGCCAACAACUCUUUACAACUGGACUUCUGACAAUUGAAUUUUUCCU